CCCGCACAAGCGGUGAGCAUGUGGUUUAAUUCGAAGCAACGCGAAGAACCUUUACCAGGUCUUGACAUCCCGAUGCUAUUUCUAGAGAUAGAAAGUUACUUCGGUACAUCGGUGACAGGUGGUGCAUGGUUGUCGUCAGCUCGUGUCGUGAGAUGUUGGGUUAAGUCCCGCAACGAGCGCAACCCCUAUUGUUAGUUGCCAUCAUUCAGUUGGGCACUCUAGCGAGACUGCCGGUAAUAAACCGGAGGAAGGUGGGGAUGACGUCAAAUCAUCAUGCCCCUUAUGACCUGGGCUACACACGUGCUACAAUGGUUGGUACAACGAGUUGCGAGUCGGUGACGGCGAGCUAAUCUCUUAAAGCCAAUCUCAGUUCGGAUUGUAGGCUGCAACUCGCCUACAUGAAGUCGGAAUCGCUAGUAAUCGCGGAUCAGCACGCCGCGGUGAAUACGUUCCCGGGGCUU
rnacentral:rRNA from 1 species